rnacentral:tRNA from 1 species
GCUGGAGUGGCGGAACUGGCAGACGCACCAGACUCAAAAUCUGGCGCUCCAUAAGAGCGUGGGGGUUCGACUCCCCCCUCCAGCA